rnacentral:lncRNA from 1 species
GUGGAAGUACGAAGUGAAAGAGCCAGGAGGAACCACAAACAAUGGCCGCCAACAUGGAGGUCGUGCUUUCAAGGUGUCGUUAACACAAUGUGAUUGCUCUUGCGGGAGGCCAUUGUUGCUUCAUCUUCCAUGCUCACACUUGUAUACCGCCGGUCGCGUUAGGAAUGUGGACACCAAUCACCCAUGCUUGGCCCAAGCCUUGAUCUUCCGCUGCUUUUUCCUAGCUUUUUCCUAUCCAACCUGCAAGUUAGAAACAGAAUAUUACCACCAUUGAAACGUUGAGAAGCCGUUAAGUGCUAGUUAGAAACAGAAACUUACCCAUGUAGCACCUUGUCCGUGUCCUGCCACUCCGGCGGAAAUGACUGGAACAAACCAAACUGGCGAAACACCCGAUGUGGCAGGUGAAGCUCAAC